UUCAACUGCACUUUUCUCCUGAAGGAGCAGAUUGCAAUUUUAUUUUAUUUUUCAUUUUUGUCCUAGAGGAGGUGUUGCAGCUGUGAAACAAAUGAGAGAAGAGGGAAGGUAAGACAGAGCUAGAGUGGCAGCUUUGAGAAGAAUCUGCAGCGACAACUCGGCCGCAUUUCCACAGCCAAGCAGAGACUGAAAGAAGCCUUGAUCAAUUUCAGGGAAGACUGCAUAGCAGAUGAGACAUAAUGCGAGCACCCAAAGACUAAGUUACUGGAUGUGCUCAGUGCGCCAGCUAUGUACUUGCAAGUGAUGCAGCUGUUCCAUUCAAUCCAUGACUGGCUUCGUAAUCAAUCCAUAUCAAACAGUCUUCACUCCAUCCACCGGAUUGACAGAUUCUGGACAGAUCUUGUCACAGAAGAAAGGUUGAUGAGAACAUUAAAAACAGGCCAUCCGACACAGUGGAAGAGGCUGGUGGAAGACUGUGCAGCCAUAGUCUAGUGCACGUGCAAGCAUCCCCAUCACAUGCCAGACUGGUGCCACCUCUGGUGUCUUUUCAGCACCGUCCUUUUUCAACAAGGGUGCACAAUUUUAUCCCAGCCUGUUUCUGUCUUGGAUUUGAAAUGGCUUUUAUUCAAGAACUGCUUUUCUGUUGUUUUUUUCAAAAAAAAAAUGAAAUGGUUUUUACCGUAUUUACUCGAGUCUAAUGCACAUCUUUUUUGUCAAA